UACGUAGGGGGCAAGCGUUGUCCGGAAUCAUUGGGCGUAAAGCGCGCGUAGGCGGCCCGGUAAGUCCACUGUAAAAGUCCAGGGCUCAACCCUGGAAAGCCGGUGGAUACUGUCGGGCUAGAGUCCGGAAGAGGCAGAGGUGAAUUCCUGGUGUAGCGGUGGAAUGCGCAGAUAUCAGGAGGAACACCGGUGGCGAAGGCGGGUCUCUGGGCCGAUACUGACGUGAGGAGCGAAAGCGUGGGGAGCGAACAGG
rnacentral:rRNA from 1 species